UUGGAGGGCAAGUCUGGUGCCAGCAGCCGCGGUAAUUCCAGCUCCAAUAGCGUAUAUUAAAGUUGUUGCAGUUAAAAAGCUCGUAGUUGAACCUCGGGGUCUACCCAUUGGUCAGGCUUAAUUGUCUGCACUGGUGAGAUGGAUCUCUACCUUCUGAGGAACUUUCAUGCCAUUCAUUUGGUGUGAUGGGAAAUCAGGACUGUUACUUUGAAAAAAUUAGAGUGUUUAAAGCAGACUAUCGUCUGAAUACAUUAGCAUGGAAUAAUGAAAUAGGACGGACUGAUUCUAUUUCGUUGGUUUCUAGGAUCACCGUAAUGAUUAAUAGGGAUAGUUGGGGGCAUUAGUAUUCAAUUGUCAGAGGUGAAAUUCUUGGAUUUAUUGAAGACUAACUACUGCGAAAGCAUUUGCCAAGGAUGCUUUCAUUAAUCAAGAACGAAAGUUAGGGGAUCGAAGACGAUCAGAUACCGUCGUAGUCUUAACCAUAAACUAUGCCGACUAGGGAUCGGACGAAGUUAAUUUUAUAAUGACGCGUUCGGCGCCUUACGGGAAAC
rnacentral:rRNA from 1 species